rnacentral:miRNA from 1 species
UGAGCUUGGAGUGAGAUGAGAUCCG